UGCAGUCGAACGGAAACGACUUAACUGAACCUUCGGGGAACGUUAAGGGCGUCGAGCAGCGGACGGGUGAGUAAUGCCUGGGAAAUUGCCCUGAUGUGGGGGAUAACCAUUGGAAACGAUGGCUAAUACCGCAUAAUAGCUUCGGCUCAAAGAGGGGGACCUUCGGGCCUCUCGCGUCAGGAUAUGCCCAGGUGGGAUUAGCUAGUUGGUGAGGUAAGGGCUCACCAAGGCGACGAUCCCUAGCUGGUCUGAGAGGAUGAUCAGCCACACUGGAACUGAGACACGGUCCAGACUCCUACGGGAGGCAGCAGUGGGGAAUAUUGCACAAUGGGCGCAAGCCUGAUGCAGCCAUGCCGCGUGUAUGAAGAAGGCCUUCGGGUUGUAAAGUACUUUCAGCAGUGAGGAAGGUGGUGUCGUUAAUAGCGGCAUCACUUGACGUUAGCUGCAGAAGAAGCACCGGCUAACUCCGUGCCAGCAGCCGCGGUAAUACGGAGGGUGCGAGCGUUAAUCGGAAUUACUGGGCGUAAAGCGCAUGCAGGUGGUUCGUUAAGUCAGAUGUGAAAGCCCGGGGCUCAACCUCGGAAUAGCAUUUGAAACUGGCGGACUAGAGUACUGUAGAGGGGGGUAGAAUUUCAGGU
rnacentral:rRNA from 1 species